CGCAUCUGUGCAUGCAGCAUAUCAAUAAGCGGAGGAAAAGAAACUAACAAGGAUUCCCUUAGUAACGGCGAGUGAAGCGGGAAGAGCUCAAAUUUGAAAUCUUCAAGGUUUUACCUUGACGAAUUGUAGUUUAAAGAAGUGUUUUCUGUUGAAGUUUUGGUAAAAGUUCUUUGGAAUAGGACAUCAUAGAGGGUGAGGAUCCCGUAUUUGACCAUUAUUUUCAGCUGUGUGAUACACUUUCAAAGAGUCGGAUUGUUUGGGAAUGCAGUCCAAAAUGGGUGGUAAAUUUCAUCUAAAGCUAAAUAUUGGCGAGAGACCGAUAGCGAACAAGUACCGUGAGGGAAAGAUGAAAAGAACUUUGAAAAGAGAGUUAAACAGUACGUGAAAUUGUCAAAAGGGAAGCGUUUGACACCAGUGUUGUUUUCUCGAAAAUCAAUUAAAAAGAGUUUGAUUUUGUUGUGUAUUGACCUUAACAGCUUGCAUUUCAAUUUUCUUGCUUUUUUUAAUGCACUUUUCGUUUAACAAGUCAACAUCAGUUUCUUUUGUUGUAAAAAGGUCAUUGGAAGGUGGCUUUCUUUUCGGAGAAAGUGUUUAUAGCCUUUGACUCCUGCAAUCGGAGAGACUGAGGUCUGCAGCGUAGAUCCUUCGGGGUUAGGAUACAUUUGUGCUAAGUUAUAGCAUUUUAUAGACAACUUGUUGACUAUGAUUAGUCUUGUAGCUUACUCGCUUAUGCUAUUUUACCUACGCUUAGGAUGUUGAUGUGAUACUGCGAGCA
rnacentral:rRNA from 1 species